rnacentral:rRNA from 1 species
GGGGAACUGAAACAUCUAAGUACCCAGAGGAAAGGACAUCAAACGAGACUCCGCUAGUAGUGGCGAGCGAACGCGGACCAGGCCAGUGGCUUAUGUGAGUAAAGUGGAACAAUCUGGAAAGGUUGGCUAGAGUGGGUGAUAGCCCCGUACACGCAACACGAUCAUAAGUCCUUGAGUAGGGCGGGACACGUGAAAUCCUGUCUGAACAUGGGUGACCACUAUCCAAGCCUAAGUACUCGUGCAUGACCGAUAGCGAACCAGUACCGUGAGGGAAAGGUGAAAAGCACCC